CCGCCAGCUAUACAUGCAGUCGAGCGGACCGGAUGUGGGGCUUGCUCCUUUGAUUCGGUCAGCGGCGGACGGGUGAGUAACACGUGGGCAACCUGCCCGCAAGACCGGGAUAACUCCGGGAAACCGGAGCUAAUUCCGGAUAACACCGAAGACCGCAUGGUCUUCGGUUGAAAGGCGGCCUUUGGGCUGUCACUUGCGGAUGGGCCCGCGGCGCAUUAGCUAGUUGGUGAGGUAACGGCUCACCAAGGCGACGAUGCGUAGCCGGCCUGAGAGGGUGACCGGCCACACUGGGACUGAGACACGGCCCAGACUCCUACGGGAGGCAGCAGUAGGGAAUCUUCCGCAAUGGGCGAAAGCCUGACGGAGCGACGCCGCGUGAGCGAAGAAGGCCUUCGGGUCGUAAAGCUCUGUUGUGAGGGACGAAGGAGCGCCGUUCGAAGAGGGCGGCGCGGUGACGGUACCUCACGAGA
rnacentral:rRNA from 1 species